rnacentral:rRNA from 1 species
AUAUCAAUAAGCGGAGGAAAAGAAACCAACUGGGAUUGCCUUAGUAACGGCGAGUGAAGCGGCAAUAGCUCAAAUUUGAAAUCUGGCACAAGCCCGAGUUGUAAUUUGCAGAGGAUGCCUCGGGGUCGGACCCGGUCUAAGUCCCUGGGACGGGGCGCGUAGAGGGUGAGAGUCCCGUACGUGGCCGGGUGCCCUCCCUAUGUGAGGCUCCCUCGACGAGUCGAGUUGUUUGGGAAUGCAGCUCUAAAUGGGAGGUAAAUUCCUUCUAAGGCUAAAUACCGGCCAGAGACCGAUAGCGCACAAGUA